GACGAACGCUGGCGGCGUGCUUAACACAUGCCAGUCGAACGGUGAAGCGCCUUCCUUUUGGUGGGUGUGGAUGAGUGGCGAAAGGGUGAGUAACACGUGAGUAACCUGCCCCCUUCUUCUGGAUAACCGCAUGAAAGUGUGGCUAAUACGGGAUAUUCUGGGUCUGUCGCAUGAUGGGUCUGGGAAAGAUAUUGUUUCGGUGGGGGAUGGGCUCGCGGCCUAUCAGCUUGUUGGUGGGGUGAUGGCCUACCAAGGCGGUGACGGGUAGCCGGCCUGAGAGGGUGGACGGUCACACUGGGACUGAGACACGGCCCAGACUCCUACGGGAGGCAGCAGUGGGGAAUAUUGCACAAUGGGCGCAAGCCUGAUGCAGCGACGCCGCGUGAGGGAUGGAGGCCUUCGGGUUGUGAACCUCUUUCGCCAGUGAAGCAGGCCUGCCUCGUUUGUGGGUGGGUUGACGGUAGCUGGAUAAGAAGCGCCGGCUAACUACGUG
rnacentral:rRNA from 1 species